CAAGAAGUUGCUGGGGUCACCAGACGCUCCCUUGAGGGAGCGAGGAAAAUCUGCCCGGAGACGGAGAAAGCCCGCCAAAACGGAGCUGAACGGAUAUUUGACCACUCGCCGACCGCUGACGUCAUCGACAAACGUUGUGGCAGGUCCGACAGAAGAAAUAAUGGGGAAGACAUCAAGGAUAUAAGUGACAUCAGAAGCAUAUUGACUUACCACCUGGUUACUUGAAAAUCUGCAACCAUUCACAUUGCCGGGUGAAUCCUACAAGAAGUGGAGAAAACAUCCCGGAUUAUAGAUUGCUUUAUCGAGGUGAACGGGAACCCCUUUUGCGGCUAUAGGCACAGAAUCUCCCCACGAUGCGUGAAGUACAUUAGCGCUGAGGGGGAUGUGGAUCUGCUGCCUCUGACUGUGACGGGAGGAUCAGUGACAGGAGGACCAAUGACGGGGAACCUGGUGAGCAUUUAAUAUCACAUCCUGUCAGCACAUCCUGAUCUUUGAGAUCAGUAAAUACCUUCUGAAACCUUGCCAAGAAAGAUUUGAAAGGCUGCUGGCUGACUCUGGUAACAUGCUGGCAUCCAGCCCACCUU